UUGAAGGUUCAAGAGGGAAUCAAGGAAAUCAGUGUACCUGCGCAGCCUGGGAUUAGAGCUCAUUCCCUCUAGUGCUCUCCUCAAACCUUUAUCUUCUCUCUGAUCCAAUAAUGAGAGCUGUGUUUUGAAGGAAGACCCUGAAGUCAGGAGAAGGAAAUAAGGAGGGAGAGAAUCCCAGGCGUGGGAGAAGAGCCAGUGACAAUGAACAUUUGGGAGAUUGUUAUCAUGUUUGAGGAUCAGUAAGGAGGCCAGAGUAACUGACUAGAGAUUCCUGCUUUGGUGGCUUUGCAAGGAGACUCUCUCUCUGCUCCUUGGGGCUUCUGUGGGACACUCACCUUCAGCAUGAGUUCUGUGGAGAGACUCUUUUCCUUGGAUUCUGCAUCGACUUGUUGGUGAGUAUCUUGGACUUCAACAUGGAGAUUGUAAUUUUGUCAGGUAGUGAGCUAAACUUCAUUGGAUCAGCACUUAGCGUAGGCUAAGCAACUCUUUACCUCUUUCCCUCCUACAUUUCCUGCUUCAACUCUUUCUCUUCCUUGUUAUAAAUAAAAGCUACUAAAAGGUUUUUUUUUCUGGCUUAGGGAUAAUAUUUUGAAUUCAGUGACCACAACAUUGAAUUUAUAACUCUUUUAUUAGUCAAACCCCCAAUUUAACCCUUCCAGAUUCAUUCUGCUAUCUAUCUAUGUGCAUUUUAUGGGUGAAUUAAUUCCAUUCACAUUCAAAGUUAUAAUAGUUGUGUUAUUUCCCUCCAUGCCAUUUUUCCUUACUG